rnacentral:tRNA from 1 species
GGGACUGUAGUUAAUUAUUAACAUUUAAUUUGCAAUUAAAAAAUAUUAAUUUAUUUUAAUCUGUCUCA